ACAAGAACCAGGCAGAGCAAUGAAUGACAUCCUAAAUAUACAAUGGAAAAUUUCUUCCCACAGAUUGCUGCUGAAUUUCUCCCUGCUGACUUGUCUGGUCUGAUGAGGCAGUUUCUGCACUGGGAAAAUGAAGACUGUGAUGUCAUCCCCUCUCUGACACCCUUAUGAUGUAACGUUCUGAAGACUGCAAGGCUCUUGUGCAGGAAGCACGCACCCCAGGCCUCGCAGGGUUGAAUAUCGUCGAGCACUGUGAUGACUCUCGAAGCCCAGGGGUGUCUGGAACAUGGUGUCAUUCGCUCUAAUGAGACUUGCUGGAAAACCUACGGUGGACAAGACAUCUCUAUGCGUUGGCCAUUGUGGAGAAUUUCCAGAGAACUGGACACCAGGACCAUGGGGGCUGCUUCUCACAGUUUAUUUAUUUUUUUCUCCAAGAGCUGGUGGGAGAAUUUAUCUCUGGGUAUUAUCCAAUCUGUAUUCUGACCCCUCAUAUUCACUAAACUAAUGGUGGCUUAAGGAAUCAUCUUUUCCAGGGAUCAAAACUUUAACUUUCUUUGACUACUAUUCCCCAAGAGCUCUGUUAAGAGUUUUACAUGCAUUUUCACAUUUAACUCUACAAGGAAGAUACUUUUUUUUUUACUUUAAGACAAAUGAGGCAUGGAGAGCCUAAAUAACUUGCCCAAGAUCACAAAGCUACUGAGUCCUAGAGCUACAAAAUGAACCCAGCUGUGUCUGAUCGAUUGCCAGAAGGACUAAAUAAGAUAAUGCAUGGAAAGGACUUGCCCAAGUAUUUGGUACAGAGUAGGCACUCAAUAAAUGUUAGCUAUUAUUAUUGCAUACUCUGUCACCCUCUUUUUUUGGAUAAUGGAAUGUAGCAGAGAGGGCAGUUAAUGAUGCAAGCCUGUUGGUGCCCUCAAGUACCCACUGACUGACUCCUUUGCCUGCCACUCACCCUACUGGGCACCAACCCAGGGCUCUAAGGGAAGCCAUGACUUAUUCCAGCCAAUGGCAAUUAGCUGUCACUUGACUUAACAUUUUGUAACAGGGCUCGGCCCAUGCCAAUUAUGACUCCCGGGGGGUCAUGUGUCACCAGGACAUAACUCUUGAAGAUCUUUUCUUUCCUGAGGACCUGGAUUCAGCAGCCCCUGGGAAAUAACCCAAAUGUAUUGCAACUGUUGUGUGCUCUAUAAAGACAUGUUGGAGAUGGAGUUGGUCCAGGAGGGAUAAGGAGAAGGAAAGCAGUGUGGUUGGGGACCACAGGACCAAGGAUCUUGGCUUAGCAAAUCAAUUAAUUAACCUUGUCUCUUGAGAAAUUCUAACCUUUGUGACAUUGGCCUUAAUGGGACCUUGGUGUGGCACUGCAAUGGACCAGGGACUGGGGGUCAGACAGUUUGGAGACUUUUAUAAAUAGAAUUUAAUUCCGUUUGUAAAACUAGCCUGUGAGGUGUUUGUUAUUUCAUAAAUGAGGAAACUGAGGCUCAUGGUGUCCAUUUUGAGAUGGUUUGAGCCCUUUCCUCCUCUUCUCUCUCCCAAGGUGGGGGAUGUCUAAUAACCAUUUCUAACCUUUUAUGUCCAAACAGAACCUUUGAAUUCCAUUCCCCAAACCUCCCGAAGCUUGUUCUUCCCCCAACCUCCACAUUUUAUUGACGGACACUCUCAUGUAUUCAGUUCCUUAAGCCAAAACUGAGGGAUCUUCCUGGAUUUCACCAAACCCCUUAUGCCCCACAGCUCCUCUUCACUGAGACCUCUUACCUCCAUCUUGAAAACAUUUUCCAAAUCCAUGUGCUUUGCUCCAAAUAAACCAAAACCUUCCUAGUCAACGCCCCAUCCUCACCCACCUUGACCCCUCUAUUACCUUCCUAACUGGUUGUCAUCUUCCUUUGCCCCCCCUCCAAUCUGCUCUCUACACAGUUACCGAGCAGAUGUUUUCCCCAAUGAAAAUACGCUCCAUCUCUGAUCUGUGUAACAUCCUCAAAUACGACACUUAAAGUAAAACCCGCAUUCCUUACACCAAGCCUGUGGCAUUCCUCCAGAUCUGGACCCUGAGUCCGUUCUGGAUAUCAUCUCCUACUUCAAGCCACACCGGGUUCUUUAUGUUCCUCUAACACCCCAACUUUUCAUCAGUGUUGGGAGCUUUGCUCUUGCUAGUUCCUCCCACUGGCUCCCUUUGGCCUCAGGGCUGCCUGGGGCUCCUUCUUAUGCUUCCUUCUCAGUCCAAGCAUAACUUUCUCAUGGCUAACCCUGUCCACCCAACUUAGUGUAAAUCCUCCCCCUGAAUCGCUCUCCUUCAUGUCACUUCCAAUAAAAAACAUCAAAGAAUCACCCUUAUGAUGUAACUGCCACAUCCAUUGCCCAUGUGUGUGUCUCCGUCUGAUAUUAUCUUAUUGAUUUGGUUUUGUAUUUAUUGCCCAUCUCUUCCAACUAGAAAGAGUGUGAAAUCCACGGAGCAAGGAUUGUGACUCUUGGUGUUCGCUGCCAUGUCUACAUUGCUGAGCCAAUGGUCUGAAACAGGGUGUUUGUUGAUUGAAUAAAUGACUACCAUUCUAAGGCUA